AACCUAAACAUAAAAUAGUUCCAAUUCAUUCAGUAAUUUUAUAUCAAUUUUGGGUUAAUCGAUUCUGUCAUAAACUUAUUAAAAGUGGCUUUAUUUUAUUGUUAAUUAAUUUAUUUAUAUCGAUAAUCUAAUUUGAACGGAAAGAACGAUACCUAUCGAUAUGAACAAAAAUGUAAAUUAUCAAAGAAAAUAUUUUUCAAGGUGUUGAGAAUGGUGUACUCGCAUAGAGUUAGACUAUUAACUAAGAAAAAAAAAAUGUAAGAGAUGCGAAUUGAGGUGAAGGGUUCCGCAAAGUUGUAACGGUACAUUACACUCAUCGGAAUUUACAGUAAAGUAAAUUCGGUCAGCGUCCUUCCAUCUCGUUCAUUGGUAUAAUUUGGUAUCGUCCUCUUUCGAGGAACAUAAACAGGGUCAAAGGCUUACUCGAUACAUCGAAAGGAGUACAUGGAAGUCUUCUUUACCGAGCGAGUUCGACACGCAGUAAAACUUUCGCUAACCUUAAAAAAUAAUUAAAAUGUUGCUUAAGUAAUAUGUGGUAUGAGUCAACCUCAUUGCCUUUGACCCUGUCCUUCAUUUAACUUGUUACUUCUUCCUCAAAAAGAACAAGAUACGAAAGUGGUUUUUUAACACCAUCGGUAAGACUACCUGACUAUGUUCUUAUCGACCAAUGAAAGUCUUAUCGAUGCAACAUCAUGGUCUCUUUUUCAAACUUGAUUUAAAGUAUAUAUUUAAAGCAUGAGUAUAUCAAUAUUAAUCGCAUAACUUCUUACCACAACUAUUAAAAACGAAUAGCCGUGAAAGUUUCAUGUAAAAUUACUCCUUGUUUUCCAUCAAGAAAUACUGUGAUCGUACUUUGUUCGUUGAAUUCUGCGAUACACCUGUUUAAAACCGGCUCGAAUCGAGUCUAGUGAACUGGAUCGUGAAUUCCGAGACCAGAUUCCGCGGACCUUGUUGCUUGCUCCGAUUUACUUUUUUAAACUACAGCAAUAUCUUUUCUUUACUCUCUAACUACUCCGAUAUAUAACUUUGAAAAACGAUAUGACAUAUUUUCUUUUUUUCUUUCUU